rnacentral:rRNA from 1 species
UGAGUAACCUGCCCUUCUCAUCGGAAUAAGCGUUGGAAACGACGUCUAAUGCCGAAUACGACCUCCUUUCGCAUGAUCGGAGGUGGAAAGCUCCGGCGGAGAAGGAUGAGCUCGCGGCCUAUCAGCUAGUUGGUGUGGGUAAUGGCCCACCAAGGCGACGACGGGUAGCCGGCCUGAGAGGGUGACCGGCCACACUGGGACUGAGACACGGCCCAGACCUCCUACGGGAGGCAGC